rnacentral:misc_RNA from 1 species
CAGAGUUGCAAAAACUCCCUAAAACCAUUGUGAACGUUACCUAAAACCGUUGCUUCGGGCGGGCGGCCCCCGGGGUUCUCCCCGGGCGCCCCUGGGCCCCCAUCGCGGGCGCCCGCCGGAGGUCACCAAACUCUUGAUAAUUUAUGGGCCUCUCUGAGUCUUCUGUACUGAAUAAGUCA